GGCCGACACAGCGCGCCAGUGUUGAGCCCGCGAUCGUGGCGAGCAUGAACGUAUACACGCACAGCUAACGGAAAACCGUAGUCUAUCGUAAAGCCGUGCACGCGUAACCCUAACGCAACGAGGAGACUUGGGGCGCACGCAACGGUGGCAUCUGCAUAUUUUUCUUCUAAAAAAGAUCGAAGAAGAAAUUCGACAACUGUAAAGUGACCGGUGUUGAUGAUGAUGAUAAUGAUGAUGAUGAUGAUGAUGAUGAUGAUCGUGCGGAGAUGAACGAACAUAAUACUCGCUGAAAAAAAAAAAAACAAAAAGAAAAAAAGAGAGAAAGACAGUUGUUUCGUCUGUUUUUCCGUGUUAUAAGGGAGGAGAAAAAAGAAAACUCUCUUUUGGUUUUUUUACCUCGUCGCGUGGUAAACUGUAAAUGGGAAUGGAAGAGAGUGAUGAUGGAUAGUAACUUGUGAUUAUGAGUGACGAACGUAAGAUCAUUCGUUUGGUAUCGAUUCGUGUUGUAUCCGUUAUUAAAAAUACGCCGAUCGAGUAACGGGAAAGUCGAUAAGGGAAGAAAGAAGAAAAAGAAGAAAAA
rnacentral:lncRNA from 1 species